rnacentral:ncRNA from 1 species
AUGAAGGCUUGGAUAAGGAAUAGUAAUUGCUAAGAAGCGAUGCAGAGAGUUAACGGUUGGUGCGAGUUAACCGCUUGAGGCGAUGAACUCACCUUGGAGCCGAUAGCGGGAAAAGCAGGUAUGAGUACCGGUAUCCGAUUUAUCCACGUUACGGAUGCGAAAGUGGACGCCGUUCUUCUAGCAGUGAAUUGCUGCGCGGCGUUAACUGGGGUGGUACCGCGGGAGCUACGCCUCUCGUCCCUGGA